UGUGUAGGCGGUCCUCUAAGUUUGGUGUGAAAUCUCCCGGCUCAACUGGGAGGGUGCGCCGAAAACUGGAGGGCUAGAGUGCGGGAUGGGAAAGUGGAAUUCCUGGUGUAGCGGUGAAAUGCGUAGAUAUCAGGAGGAACACCUGUGGUGUAGACGGCUUUCUGGACCGCAACUGACGCUGAGACACGAAAGCGUGGGUAGCAAACAGGAUUAGAUACCCUGGUAGUCCACGCCCUAAACGAUGCAUAUUUGGUGUGGGCCAUUCAUUUGGUCCGUGCCGGAGCUAACGCGUUAAAUAUGCCGCCUGGGGAGUACGGUCGCAAGGCUAGAA
rnacentral:rRNA from 1 species